UUUUUUUGGUUCAAGAUAUUAAGAUGUUAAGAGUGAUUUUUUUUAUUCUAUUCUGGAACUUUUGGACAUUCUAUUAGGAGACUCAUGCUCCUAUUUAAUCUUGUUUUUAGUGGAUAAUCCCUCUAUUUUAUAUAGGUGAAGAUUUUGCAGGCGUGUAUGUUGAGCUUCCUGCUGGACCUGGCAACACCACCCCAGCAAAAAUAGAGCACUGACUCAUGCUGCCCCAUUACAGACAGGUGGCACGGAAGUUUAGCUGCCCCUUACCCCCACUGACACUUUCCUGGUUAAUGUGGAUGCCAAUUGUAGCUACCUUUUUUCUCCCUGUGGGCCUGUCCUGCAAAAAAAAAAAAAAAAGGAUGGGAAUAUGGAGGGCUGACAAGCUUUGAUGCUACAGGGUGAGACAGGAACUCAGCUCACUGCCUCCUUGCUGUUUUCCCUCCCCUAUCCAAUGACACCAGGGGAAGGGAGAAGUGAAGUGCCAUCUGGCCCUACCUCACUGAUGAUCACCGUGGGAGAACAGUUCUCACUGAUACCAGGGGAGGGUAGAACUGUACAUCACAAUGCUUGUUCAGUCUUGGUCCUGCCAGGACUGGAGGAUCACAGACCCAUCUGAUUCUGACAAGUGAGGGAUAGAAUAUCUGCUGCUCACUGGGUCCUACCGAAACCACCAGUCAGGGAAAUUGAAACAUCGCUUACUUCAAGGAGGCAGGAGGAUCGGUUGGAAGCUCAACUCUCCAACUGGCUCACUGAAACCUCAGGCGAGGUGAUGCAGUUUCACCAUUGCUGUUGGCUGAAAUUAGGCGACUGU
rnacentral:lncRNA from 1 species